GUUUGAUCCUGGCUCAGAUUGAACGCUGGCGGCAGGCCUAACACAUGCAAGUCGAGCGGUAACAUUUCUAGCUUGCUAGAAGAUGACGAGCGGCGGACGGGUGAGUAAUGCUUGGGAAUAUGCCUUUUGGUGGGGGACAACAGUUGGAAACGACUGCUAAUACCGCAUGAUGUCUACGGACCAAAGUGGGGGACCUUCGGGCCUCACGCCAAGAGAUUAGCCCAAGUGGGAUUAGCUAGUUGGUAAGGUAAUGGCUUACCAAGGCGACGAUCCCUAGCUGGUUUGAGAGGAUGAUCAGCCACACUGGGACUGAGACACGGCCCAGACUCCUACGGGAGGCAGCAGUGGGGAAUAUUGCACAAUGGGCGCAAGCCUGAUGCAGCCAUGCCGCGUGUGUGAAGAAGGCCUUCGGGUUGUAAAGCACUUUCAGUAAGGAGGAAAGGUUAAGUUUUAAUAGAGCUUAGCUGUGACGUUACUUACAGAAGAAGCACCGGCUAACUCCGUGCCAGCAGCCGCGGUAAUACGGAGGGUGCGAGCGUUAAUCGGAAUUACUGGGCGUAAAGCGUACGCAGGCGGUUUGUUAAGCGAGAUGUGAAAGCCCCGGGCUCAACCUGGGAACUGCAUUUCGAACUGGCAAACUAGAGUGUGAUAGAGGGUGGUAGAAUUUCAGGUGUAGCGGUGAAAUGCGUAGAGAUCUGAAGGAAUACCGAUGGCGA
rnacentral:rRNA from 1 species